rnacentral:lncRNA from 1 species
AAGAAAUUGAAAUCUUCGUUGUAAUGUUACAUAAUAUUCUAACAUUUCUCUACAGAAUUUUUCCUGCUGUUCUUACUGAGAAAAAUACCAUCUCUUGAAAGCUAGGUUUGAGAUGCCAAAACAGGAAAACAACUUGGUUUUGAGGAAGGAGUAAAAACAGCAGCCAGGAGCUGAACUAAAUAGCAGAGAAGUGUGGACCCAGGCAGGAAUAAAGGCCUCUAACUGUGAAAUGAGGAGUUGGGAAUGCACUGCUGAGGUGCUCCAAGAGUCUGUGCAGGGAGAUUGCUGUUGGAAUGGUGCAGGAGAGUGCUGGUUUUCCUACAAUUCAAACUGUUUUUCAGCCCAGUGUGCUGAGCUCUGAGUGACCGUGAAAUUGUGAAGGCAGGCACAUGAAAGUCGGAACAGUGAUGAGAACCACUGCCAGGAGCAGGCAAAGAAAAAAAAAUUAAAACCAGAAUUGGCAUUCAAG